rnacentral:rRNA from 1 species
CCUACGGGAGGCAGCAGUGAGGAAUAUUGGUCAAUGGACGAGAGUCUGAACCAGCCAAGUAGCGUGAAGGAUGACUGCCCUAUGGGUUGUAAACUUCUUUUAUAAAGGAAUAAAACGAGGCACGUGUGCCUUUUUGCAUGUACUUUAUGAAUAAGGAUCGGCUAACCCCGUGCCAGCAGCCGCGGUAAUACGGAGGAUCCGAGCGUUAUCCGGAUUUAUUGGGUUUAAAGGGAGCGUAGAUGGGUUGUUAAGUCAGUUGUGAAAGUUUGCGGCUCAACCGUAAAAUUGCAAUUGAUACUGGCAGUCUUGAGUACAGUUGAGGUAGGCGGAAUUCGUGGUGUAGCGGUGAAAUGCUUAGAUAUCACGAAGAACCCCGAUUGCGAAGGCAGCUUACUAAACUGUGACUGACAUUGAUGCUCGAAAGCGCGGGUAUCGAACAGGAUUAGAUACCCCAGUAGUC